AUUGCUUUCAACAUCACUGUCAUCCAUGCUGCUCCUAAUAUGGCCUGGCUGGAGACAUAGGAAGAAGCACGAAGCAAUAACCUACAGAAUGCAAACUACUUAAAGCUUCCUCCUCAUGAUUCCUAAGAUUCAAUAAUCGUCUGCCUCCAACUCAAAAGAGAACAUGGCCAAUCAAAUAUUUAUGAAACUAUGUUUUAUAAAGUUGUAUAUUUAAAGACUUAUAAUGUUGAAAGUAAAAGUAUCUGAAGAAAACAUGAGCCUAAAACACUGAAAGACAUCACCAACUUCCUAAUCUGAUGGGAUGUGCUAAGGACACGCCUCAAUAUGCUCCCAGAGAGAAGCAACAUGGGAAUUUCCCCUUUAAAGUAUAAUUCUUCUGAUUCCAAUGGGAGGAAAUCUUUCAUAUAUCAAACACUGAAAGCAAACAAAAAUGAAAUUGAAAAGAGUGUAGUCUGAAAGGAGAAUAUCACCUCCCCUGAAGGACAUAGUAUAGAAACUUGGAACCCAGAUGAAAGCAUUCUAUGGAAGCUGGGAGUCAGGGCCUAGGGGAACUGAAGAUCACUGGCGCCAUUUUGGAUCCUGCCCCUCAUUUCUCAUUCUCCUUCCAGCUCCCCUGAGGGAGUCAGCUCUGCUCUUCCCUAACUCACUAACUCCAUGAUGCUCUCUGCCAUCCGAGCUCCAGAAACACCAGAAUCAACUGAAAAUGAAUUGAAAGUGUUGAACCCCUAAGCAAAAACAAAUCUUCAUAUUUUAAAGUUGGUUUCCUCAGGAAUGUUGUUAUAAUGACAGACACUAGCACAGAGCUAUCAAAAGAGCAAUCAAAAUUUAAUGCUUAAGUAAUUAAAUAAAGAGGGGGCUGGAUAACAGGACAACAAAUUAAAAUAUCAGCAGGUGAAAAAGAGUAGGAUAAACUUGUGAACUUGGCGAACACUGUUUUAGCAGAAAAUGGUAUCAAUCUCAGUUCAGUUUGGAAAAUAUUCUGAAGUAAAAGGGCACUUUUGAAAUAAAAUUAUGUGAUAAGGUGUGGCCUUCCAAACAGAUGUUACUCAGCCUCUAGUUCUUUGUAGAUAAAAGAAUACUUACCAAGGUAUUACCUUGUCAAAUUACAUAUU
rnacentral:lncRNA from 1 species